UCUUAACUCUCGCAACAUUCCCAAGUGUUUGGAUCAGGCCAUCCAAACACGGAAACCAUAAAGUAAUUGUUUUAUAAAAUAACAACAACACGAUAGUCUUCCGUGUUUGGAUGGCCUGAUCCAAACACUUGGGAAUGUUGCGAGAGUUAAGAAA